rnacentral:rRNA from 1 species
UGGGGAAUAUUGCACAAUGGGGGAAACCCUGAUGCAGCGACGCCGCGUGAGCGAUGAAGUAUUUCGGUAUGUAAAGCUCUAUCAGCAGGGAAGAAAAUGACGGUACCUGACUAAGAAGCCCUGGCUAACUACGUGCCAGCAGCCGCGGUAAUACGUAGGGGGCAAGCGUUAUCCGGAUUUACUGGGUGUAAAGGGAGCGUAGACGGCUGUGCAAGCCAGAUGUGAAAGCCCGGGGCUCAACCCCGGGACUGCAUUUGGAACUGCGUGGCUUGAGUGUCGGAGAGGCAGGCGGAAUUCCUAGUGUAGCGGUGAAAUGCGUAGAUAUUAGGAGGAACACCAGUGGCGAAGGCGGCCUGCUGGACGAUGACUGACGUUGAGGCUCGAAAGCGUGGGGAGCAAACA